UACGGGGGGGCAAGCGUUGUUCGGAAUUACUGGGCGUAAAGGGCUCGUAGGCGGCCAACUAAGUCGGACGUGAAAUCCCCAGGCUCAACCUGGGAACUGCGUCCGAUACUGGAUGGCUUGAAUUCGGGAGAGGGAUGCAGAAUUCCAGGUGUAGCGGUGAAAUGCGCAGAUAUCAGGAGGAACACCGGUGGCGAAGGCGGGUCUCUGGGCCGAUACUGACGCUGGAGGAGCGAAAGCGUGGGGAGCGAACAGG
rnacentral:rRNA from 1 species